GACGAACGCUGGCGGCGUGCUUAACACAUGCAAGUCGAGCGGUAAGGCCCUUUCGGGGGUACACGAGCGGCGAACGGGUGAGUAACACGUGGGUGACCUGCCCUUAGCUCUGGGAUAAGCCUGGGAAACUGGGUCUAAUACCGGAUAUGACUCCAUGACGCAUGUUGUGGGGUGGAAAGCCUUGUGCGGCUAGGGAUGGGCCCGCGGCCUAUCAGCUUGUUGGUGGGGUGAUGGCCUACCAAGGCGACGACGGGUAGCCGGCCUGAGAGGGCGACCGGCCACACUGGGACUGAGAUACGGCCCAGACUCCUACGGGAGGCAGCAGUGGGGAAUCUUGCGCAAUGGGCGAAAGCCUGACGCAGCGACGCCGCGUGAGGGAUGACGGCCUCGGUUGUAAC
rnacentral:rRNA from 1 species